rnacentral:lncRNA from 1 species
AAGGCUGCAGGGAUCCCUCUUAGUGCUCCCAGUAAGGCCCAGUGAUCACUCCCAGUCAGGCCCUGGGAGCCCUCCCAGUAAGGCCCAGUGAUCGCUCCCAGUCAGGCCCUGGGAGCCUUCCCAGUAAGGCCCUACAAGCCCUCCCAGUAAGGCCCAGCAAGGCCCUACAAACCCUCCUAGUAAGACCCAUUGAUCACUCCCAGUUGCCCCAGUGCUCCCAGCAAAGCCCAGCUAUCCUUCCCAGGGCUCCCAGUAAAGCCCAGCAACCCCUCCCAGCGCUCCCAGUAAAGCCCAGCGACCCCUCCCAGCGCCCCCAGUAAAGCCCAGCGACCCCUCCCAGUGCUCCCAGUAAAGCCCACAAGCCUCUCCCAGUAAGGCCCAGCGGCACCCCCAGUGCCUCCACUAAAACUGAGCCCCCCCAGUGCCCUCCCAGUGCUCCCAGUAACCCCCCAGUGCCCUCUCAGUAACUCCCAGUAGCCCCCAGUCCCUCCCAGUUCCCCCCCCCGCACCAGCCGCCUC